rnacentral:tRNA from 1 species
GCCGAGGUGGCGGAAUCGGUAGACGCGAGGGACUUAAAAUCCCUUGGGUGGAUAGCCCGUGCGGGUUCGAGUCCCGCCCUCGGCAC